rnacentral:rRNA from 1 species
AUGGAUCUGGUUAGGAAGCCGGAGAUGGAAGAGAGGGUGUCAUGUUGGAUCUUCAAUCGGGGCAAACAACGGAUGCUCAGGAUAAAGGUGGACUUCGAUUGCCUCACAACCAUCUACAAGGGAGACUUCCACCUCGACCUGAAGUUCACCCACGUGGAGCCUUUACUAGUCGGAGUGCAACUAUAUCUCCUAAUGAUCCAUCAUCAAUAUGCUCCACUUGUCAACCCAAAGCUACCAUUUCCAGAAUGGUUUGUGAAGUCAACUGAAGACAAGCAGAUUGCAAAGUUUCUAGAUAUGAUGACAGAUAUGCAGAUUACCACCCCCAUCCUUGAUGGUGUCUUACAGGUGCCUAUGUAUACACAGUUCUUGAAGGACCAGCUCGCAAAGAAGCAAAACAUUAACGAGCCAGAACUAGUUGCUCUUACUAAGGAAUGUAGCGUAGAUGAGCCUACCAAUUUCAGUAUUCCAUGCUUGAUAGGAAGUCAAACUUUCCAUGCUUUAUGUGGUCUUGGGUCUACUGUGAUUCCCUUCAUUAUGUACGAGCCACUACCAUUGGGUGAUGUAUGGCCGACUAGCAUCACUCUCCACCUUGCCGAUCAGGAUACGGCAGACAUUUUGGGUGAUAUCCCUGCGAUAGUUGGAGCUAUCAUCGAUGUGAAAGAUGCUAAGCUCACGCUCAAUUUGGUGAGGAGAAAGUAUCAUUUGACAUUAGGUAUAUCUUCCAACUCACCUUCCUCAUUGUCCAGACCAUAUGUAGCACCAGGGUUUAGCCUUCUCCUUGCCGAGUUGCAUCGCCCGCAUCGUGUUCAAUUAGAAAGUCUGGCAAAGGUGCUUCCAACUCCUGGUUCAAGUGGUUGCACCCUUGUGAGCAAGUUGUUGCCGGAUUGGAUAGGAGAAGUGAAACAAAGCUACAAAGGAGAAAAAAUAGCUGAAGAAGUUAAGAAGAGCAUUAGUGAAGUGAUAGGAGGACAAGUUGGUUGGGAAGAGGAGGAAGGGGUAUUAAGGGAAAAAAGGACACUUUAUGUGGGGACUGCUGGAAAUGCAAGAGCCUGGAUAGCGCAAGAACGGCAUGGGAUAGCUACCGGAGGCCAUUCAGGUGCCGAAAAUCUACCUGUACCUCAAAUUUCCAGAAAGGAGAACUGA